rnacentral:rRNA from 1 species
CGGACGGCUCAUUAACACGUGGUUAACAUACCCUCAGGUGGGGGAUAACCUUGGGAAACUGAGGAUAAUACCCCAUAGAAAAAGCAGUCUGGAACGAUUCUUUUUCGAAAGCAUAUGCGCCUGAGGAUUGGACUGCGCUCGAUUAGGUAGUUGGUGGGGUAAUGGCCCACCAAGCCUACGAUCGGUACGGGCCUUGAGAGAGGAAGCCCGGAGAUGGGGACUGAGACACGGCCCCAGGCCCUACGGGGCGCAGCAGGCGCGAAACCUCCGCAAUGCACGAAAGUGCGACGGGGGGAUCCCAAGUGCUCAUGCACAGCAUGGGCUUUUAUCAAGUGUAAACAGCUUGAGGAAUAAGGGCUGGGCAAGUUCGGUGCCAGCAGCCGCGGUAACACCGACGGCCCGAGUGGUGGCCACUUUUAUUGGGCCUAAAGCGUCCGUAGCCGGUCCAGUAAGUCCUUGUUUAAAUCCUGCGGCUUAACCGCAGGACUGGCAGGGAUACUGCUGGACUUGGGACCGGGAGAGGACAAGGGUACUUCAGGGGUAGCGGUGAAAUGUGUUGAUCCUUGAAGGACCACCUAUGGCGAAGGCACUUGUCUGGAA